AUUGAACGCUGGCGGCAUGCCUUACACAUGCAAGUCGAACGGCAGCACGGGGGCAACCCUGGUGGCGAGUGGCGAACGGGUGAGUAAUGCAUCGGAACGUGCCCAGUAGUGGGGGACAACCAGUCGAAAGAUUGGCUAAUACCGCAUACGACCUAUGGGUGAAAGCGGGGGACCGUAAGGCCUCGCGCUAUUGGAGCGGCCGAUGUCUGAUUAGCUAGUUGGUGAGGUAAAGGCUCACAAAGGCGACGAUCAGUAGCUGGUCUGAGAGGACGGCCAGCCACACUGGGACUGAGACACGGCCCAGACGCCUACGGGAGGCAGCAGUGGGGAAUUUUGGACAAUGGGCGCAAGCCUGAUCCAGCCAUGCCGCGUGCGGGAAGAAGGCCUUCGGGUUGUAAACCGCUUUUGGCAGGAACGAAACGGCGCGGGCUAAUACCCAGCGUUAAUGACGGUACCUGCAGAAUAAGCACCGGCUAACUACGUGCCAGCAGCCGCCGUAAUAC
rnacentral:rRNA from 1 species